rnacentral:sRNA from 1 species
UGUAUCGGAAGCCUGACGAGGAUGAGAACCUCCGGGGGCAAGAGGUUCGACUCGAGCGCAGCGAGAGAACGUUGCGUCAGCAACGGCCCGCAGGGCGAGC